rnacentral:rRNA from 1 species
GACGAACGCUGGCGGCGUGCUUAACACAUGCAAGUCGAACGGGCCUGUCUUCUUUUUUGGGGGUGGGUUGAGUGGCGAACGGGUGAGUAUCACGUGAGUAACCUGCCCUUCGGUCCUGGAUAACCGCUUGAAAGGGCGGCUAAUACGGGGUGGUCCGGUUGGUCCGCAUGGGCUGGUCGGGAUAGAUUCACUGUUUUUGGUGUUUCGGCGGGGGAUGGGCUCGCGGCCUAUCAGCUUGUUGGUGGGGUGAUGGCCUACCAAGGCGGUGACGGGUAGCCGGGCUGAGAGGGUGGGCGGCCACAGUGGGACUGAGAUACGGCCCAGACUCCUGCGGGAGGCAGCAGUGGGGGGUAUUGCACAAUGGGCGGAAGCCUGAUGCAGCGACGUCGCGUGAGGGAUGGAGGCCUUCGGGUUGUGAACCUCUGUUUCCGGUGGUGAAGGCCCUGUCCGUGUGGUGGGGUUGACGGUAGCCGGGGAUGAAGCGCCGGCUAACUACGUG